GUCUUUUCCUUAUCUCUGCUGGCCAUCACUGGCAGGUGGUCCCCCUUCACCGCUGGCGUGACUCGGGGGUUACCUUGCGGCUCGAUUUCCCAUUGCAGGUGGGUGAGUGAACGCUUCUUUCUCCUCACCAGAACACACACCACUGCCGAUUUUGCCAUGAGCGUCCAGGCGGGGGAUCGCCCCGUCGGCUGCUCCUUGUUGGGACGAAGGGAAUUCUUUGGGCCACGUUCACACUAUGUAGAGCCAAGGUUGGUAGUUAACGCCCAAGUGCCAGCCGCGAUCCAUCCGCGUGAACAUGUCCCUGAGCUACCUCUUCGUCUUCCAUUCCGCGAUUGAGUGCUUCAAUUGGCCAGCUUCCGAUUCGCAUUGACCUGUCUCUGACAGAGGAUAGAGCUGGAUGGCCUCUAGAACGGCGGGAGAAGCCCUCGCAUAUCUAUGUGUACCACUCGUCAUCUGACCAAGUCUACACUAGACUUGGGUUCUGAGAUCUCAGAUCAGCUCACAUUGUGGCUCCUCUGGUAGCCAAGUUGCAAGUGCGUGCUCAGCCGUGUCAUCACAGAAAUUCAGAACAGUCAGAGCGAAAGUGAUGGAUUUUGGGCGAGGUCAGGAUGCAUUUGGACGUGAUCUGCUGAUCAAGGGUUCCCCCAUCGACGAUGUACA